AACGUAGGAGACAAACGUUAUCCGGAGUUACUGGGCGUAAAGGGCGUGUAGGUGGUUUCGUAAGUCUGGCGUGAAAUUUUUCGGCUUAACCGGGAAAGGUCGUCGGAUACUGCGGGACUGGAGGACGGUAGAGGCGUGUGGAAUUCCGGGUGUAGUGGUGAAAUGCGUAGAGAUCCGGAGGAACACCAGUGGCGAAGGCGACACGCUGGGCCGUACCUGACACUGAUGCGCGACAGCAUGGGGAGCAAACGGG
rnacentral:rRNA from 1 species